rnacentral:rRNA from 1 species
GACGAACCGUGCGAACGUUAUUCGGAAUCACUGGGCUUAAAGCGCGUGUAGGCGGACGGGGACGUCGGUCGCUGAAAUCCCCCGGCUCAACCGGGGAACGGGCGCGGAUACGACUCUCCUUGAGGGGCGUAGGGGGACCUGGAACUUCCGGUGGAGCGGUGAAAUGCGUUGAGAUCGGAAGGAACGCCCGUGGCGAAAGCGAGGUCCUGGACGCCUACUGACGCUGAGACGCGAA